GACGAACGCUGGCGGCGUGCCUAAUACAUGCGAGUUGAGCGCUGAAGGUUGGUACUUGUACCAACUGGAUGAGCAGCGAACGGGUGAGUAACGCGUGGGGAAUCUGCCUUUGAGCGGGGGACAACAUUUGGAAACGAAUGCUAAUACCGCAUAAAAACUUUAAACACAAGUUUUAAGUUUGAAAGAUGCAAUUGCAUCACUCAAAGAUGAUCCCGCGUUGUAUUAGCUAGUUGGUGAGGUAAAGGCUCACCAAGGCGAUGAUACAUAGCCGACCGGAGAGGGUGAUCGGCCACAUUGGGACUGAGACACGGCCCAAACUCCUACGGGAGGCAGCAGUAGGGAAUCUUCGGCAAUGGACGAAAGUCUGACCGAGCAACGCCGCGUGAGUGAAGAAGGUUUUCGGAUCGUAAAACUCUGUUGGUAGAGAAGAACGUUGGUGAGAGUGGAAAGCUCAUCAAGUGACGGUAACUACCCAGAAAGGGACGGCUAACUACGUG
rnacentral:rRNA from 1 species